rnacentral:rRNA from 1 species
CAGCCGCCGCGGUAAUACAGAGGGUGCGAGCGUUAAUCGGAUUUACUGGGCGUAAAGCGUGCGUAGGUGGUGGUUUAAGUCCGUUGUGAAAGCCCUGGGCUCAACCUGGGAAUUGCAGUGGAUACUGGGUCACUAGAGUGUGGUAGAGGAUAGUGGAAUUUCCGGUGUAGCAGUGAAAUGCGUAGAGAUCGGAAGGAACAUCUGUGGCGAAGGCGACUAUCUGGGCCAACACUGACACUGAGGCACGAAAGCGUGGGGAGCAAACAGGAUUAGAUACCCCUGUAGUCCCUGUCUCUUAUAC